AUUUUCUACCGGUCAUCUCCUUCCACAUCGAACCGCGGCGGAUGAGGUCCAACAAAUCCCCAACCAUAAUGGCUUGCCAAUGGCGACGGCGGUGUAGAUCUUGUACCUAGAUGGGCGACCUUGGCUACUCGAGGAAGCUUUCCAUCUCUGCCCCUAGAUGUACCUAGCUGGACGGCCUUGGCUAUUGGAGGAAUCUUGAUCGUCUCGUCGCCGGUGGUCGGGCUGCCCGGGCGGACCUCUCCUCUGCUGCGCCGCGACGCUGGCCGAGCCAAUCUCCAGAACACAAUGUCUGGUUUGGGUAUGCUGGAUAGAUCACAGCUCGUCGACUACUAAGCUCGCCCCCGCUGUUCUGUUGGUGCAUCUCAAUCUGAAAUUGAGGGAAGUAGUGCGAUGUCACCUUUAGGAGGGCCCAUAGUUCCAAAAAUCGCAAACUGUGUACCAACACUAUCAGACUUUGUUUGGUGUCAUCUUUCCAUCACAUAGACCUCGAUGAGCAAGAAGCACCAGCACCAAAGAUGCUCAUGUCCAAGUGGACAGGUUACGAGGAUAGAGCAAGUCUUGCUUGAUGCCAAAACCCCUGUAACUGAGUGGUAUUUCCACUCUGCUUUGCACUGAGUUUGUAUCAGAGUUGUAGAUCAUGGACCAAUCCUUGCUGAGAAUUGAAUCCAUAAUUAUGUAAUUCUGCAUAUGGUAGUUGUUAACCUGUUGUAUGCAUGUUUCUACUUAUUAAUUCUGCUUGUAAUAAGCAUAGAUUAUUGCCGGAUCUUGGUUGCUUCCCUUCCUGCCAUGCUUUUGCUAUUGGAAAGAAUUAUUGUGUUCCUGCUUAUAAGAGCUACUGUGUUUGGAUGAUGGCUAUUUUAAAAAAAUGGAUGAGGCAUGUUUCUACUUGAGUCACCUUUGUUCAUUUGGUUAAUGAUUUUGCCUGGGAUGAUCCAGUUUGACAUGUACUUGAAUGAGAUAUCUCAAAUUUCAUGUGUAUAC